ensembl:lncRNA
UUCAAAGAGUUUUCUUUAUUUUCAUGACUUUGAAAAUUGUAAAGUCACACUGAAGGCAUCAAGGGCUAUUUGACCAAGAAGGAGAGUGAUGGGGUGCUCCGCCAGAUGACCUGGCCUCCACAGUCACCGGACCUGAACCCAAUCGAGAUGGUUUACGGGUGAGCUGGACCGCAGACUGAAGGCAAAAGGGCCAACAAGUGCUAAGCAUUAGACUGUUGGUGUCACACACCUGGACUCAUUUAGCUUGUUUUCGCCCGUGACCCAGUUUCUGUCUUCCGUGUUUAGUUUGAUUAGUUCCCAGGUGUCUAUUAUCUUCCUCAUGUGUUCCAUGUCCCUGUUAAUUUAAUGAUUCCAUCCACCUGUGUUUCCCCAAUUAUCUGUUGUUCAUAAGCCGUGUCCCUUCAGUUCUGUUUUGUCGGGUCUUCUCACUUGUGCUCACUUGUGCUCACUUGUAACCACUUGCUACUUACGUGUGUCUACCUCUGUGCUCCAUGUUGGAUAUCCCCUGUGUUGGAUAUAUUAAAAGCCUUAUUCUGUUUAUCCUCGACUCCGUAUUCCUUCAGGCAGCGUAAACCGUGACAGAAGACCCGACCUCAAAAGAGAAAGUAGAAAACUGCGUCUUUCCCUCCGUUUUGCUUUCGUUUUUUCUCAGUCUUUUUGUUUUGUAGUGUUUCUAUGGAUCCCCUCUUUCGUCCCGAAUUCCUCAUCCUUCUGCUGAAGCAGGAAGGACGUUCUCUCGAGGACCAUACCAGACAGUUUAUUCUAUUAGCUAAUGCCACCAGCUACCCGGACAACGCGCUCUGCACCUUCUACAACACCAGCCUGAACUCCAAAUGCAGAGCGUUGUCGUCCGAAGAUGGUCCUCGAGAGGAUUUCGCCGCAUACGUGGAGUGGACUCUGGCGAGAAAUGGCUCAUCUCUCACCAUCUGCCCCAUAGAGGACCUCGCCAGCCCCACUCCCGACCCAGAGACCAGCCAGCCACCAUCUCGCCGCACGGAGCCAGAGCCCACCGCAGCCGCAGAGCCCGAGCCAUCCACUGACAGGGAGCCGGAUCUCGAGAGCGCGACUGACCAGGUGUGUGAGCCGGCAACACUGUGCAUCGUGGGAGUCCUCGUGGAGAUCGAGGGCGUGGAGGAAAGCCCUGCCCACACUCCUGCGACUGAGGGUGAGCUAUAUGCAGUCUCUGAAGAUCAUAUGGAGCAAGUUCUGGAUCUGAUGGACUGGUCUAUGGGGGUAAUCCCUAAUUUUCCUGUUUCCCCGCUGGUUCCGUCCAGCCCUGAUUCCCCUGUAUACCCUCUCAGUCUCCCACUCCUACCUCCUCCAGUCAUUUCCUCUGCUCCAUUUCCGCUGGUUCCGCCCAGCCCUGAGUUUUCUGUUUCUCCGCUGGUUACGCCCAGCCCUGAGUUUUCUGUUUCUCCGCUGGUUACGCCCAGCCCUGAGUUUUCUGUUUCUCCGCUGGUUACGCCCAGCCCUGAGUUUUCUGUUUCUCCGCUGGUUACGCCCAGCCCUGAGUUUUCUGUUUCUCCGCUGGUUACGCCCAGCCCUGAGUUUUCUGUUUCUUCGCUGGUUCCGCCCAGCCCUGAGUUUUCUGUUUCUCCGCUGGUUACGCCCAGCCCUGAGUUUUCUGUUUCUCCGCUGGUUCCGCCCAGCCCUGAGUUUCCUGUAUCUCCGCUGGCUCCGCCCAGCUCUGAAUCUUCUGUUUCUCCGCUGGUUCCGCCCAGACCUGAGUUUUCUGUUUCUCCGCUGGUUCCGCCCAGCUCUGAAUCUUCUGUGUCUCCGCUGGUUCCGCCCAGCUCUGAAUCUUCUGUGUCUCCGCUGGUUCCGCCCAGCUCUGAAUCUUCUGUGUCUCCGCUGGUUCCGCCCAGCUCUGAAUCUUCUGUGUCUCCGCUGGUUCCGCCCAGCUCUGAAUCUUCUGUGUCUCCGCUGGUUCCGCCCAGCUCUGAAUCUUCUGUGUCUCCGCUGGUUCCACCCAGCUCUGAAUCUUCUGUGUCUCCGCUGGUUCCGCCCAGCUCUGAAUCUUCUGUGUCUCCGCUGGUUCCGCCCAGCUCUGAAUUUUCUGUGUCUCCGCUGGUUCCGCCCAGCCAUGAUUUUUCUGUUUCACCACUGGUUCCGCCCAGCCCUGAAUCUUCUGUGUCUCCUGUAUUCCCUCCCAGCCUCCCUCUCCCACCUCCUCCCAAACCUGCUGGUCCCUCUACUCCUCUUUCGCUGGUUCCGUCCAGUCCUGAUCCUCCUGUCCUUCCUCCCAUCCUUCUCCUCUCUCCUCCUCCUAGACCAGCCAGUUCCUCGCCAUCCCUGCUGGUGCCAGUCAGUCCCGCAGCUCACCCUCAGUCCGCGCCAUUGGGGCGCGGUGGUUCGCCACUGGACUGCCAGUCUCCAGCUCCGCCUUGGCGUGUUAAGGCCCUGUCUCCGCCUCCAGCCUCCGAGCCCUGGACUCCUCCUCGGUCCUUCGACCCAGCGGCUCCGCCUUGGCUCUUAGCUCCCUCGUCUCCACCGUGGCCUGUCAUCCCACCUGCUCCACCGGGCUCCCUCGUCCCUCCGGCUCCACCUUGGUCAGUCGUCGACCAUCCGCCGCCUCGGGACUCCACUCCUCUGGUUCCACCUCGUCACUCCAUCCCUCCGGCUCUGUCAGGCUCCUCCUUCCCUCCGGUUCCACCUCCAUCCUCGGUCGCUCCGGCUCCACAGCGGUCUGCCAGGACCCUGCCUCCGCCUUGGUCGCCUGAGCCUUCUGCUCCACCUAGGCCCUCCGGAACCUCGACGUCCCCCUGGCUCUGCGGCUGUGCUGCUCCAUCUUGGGCUCCUCACCCAUCGGUGCAGUCUCCGCCUGUCGGCCCCCUGGUGUCGUCGACCCUUCCUUCACCAUGGCUCCUCCCGCCGUCGACUCCACCUUGGAUCUCCGUCCUGGCUGGUCUCUGGUGGACCAUCUGGCUCCUCCUGCUCCUGUCUCCUCCCUGGCUCCUUCCUCCGUCGUCUCCUCCCUGGCUCCUCCUUCUGUGGUCCCUGUGUGCUGGCCCCCUCCUGGGAGUCCGUCCUCCACCGGAACCUCCUCCCAGGUUCCCACCCAUGCCUCCCUCUGUUGUUUCUACGGUGCGAGGACGCACCUACCGGGAGGGGGGAGUACUGUCACACACCUGGACUCAUUUAGCUUGUUUUCGCCCGUGACCCAGUUUCUGUCUUCCGUGUUUAGUUUGAUUAGUUCCCAGGUGUCUAUUAUCUUCCUCAUGUGUUCCAUGUCCCUGUUAAUUUAAUGAUUCCAUCCACCUGUGUUUCCCCAAUUAUCUGUUGUUCAUAAGCCGUGUCCCUUCAGUUCUGUUUUGUCGGGUCUUCUCACUUGUGCUCACUUGUGCUCACUUGUAACCACUUGCUACUUACGUGUGUCUACCUCUGUGCUCCAUGUUGGAUAUCCCCUGUGUUGGAUAUAUUAAAAGCCUUAUUCUGUUUAUCCUCGACUCCGUAUUCCUUCAGGCAGCGUAAACCGUGACAGUUGGAAGACCAUUUCAGGUGACUACCUCUUGAAGCUCAUCAAGAGAAUGCCAAGAGUGUGCAAAGCAGUAAUCAAAGCAAAAGGUGGCUACUUUGAAGAACCUAGAAUAUGACGUAUUUUCAGUUGUUUCAAACUUUUUUGUUAUGUAUUUAAUUCCAUAUAUAACUCCACAUGUG